rnacentral:rRNA from 1 species
GUCCAAAGCUGGCAAGCGCACGAGCAGCAAGAGCCAACGGGCCGGGGCCCCCGCGUCGCUCUCGCGUUCCACUCGCACGCACGCAGAUCACGAACAAAAGAGCUCCUGAACGAAGCCCGCCGCCGCACGAUGGCACAUGGAGCAGCAGCAUCAGGCGGCGCCGCCUCCGCCGCCGCGCGGGCGAGCAGAGGCGCGCCGGGGACGUGGAGGCGGGUGCGGAGGGCGGCGCGGGAGGCGGCGGCGCACGCGCUGCUGCUCUGCUUCACCACCCUCCUCGCCCUCAAGCUCGACGGCGUUCUCUUCUCCCGCUCCUGGUGGGUGCUUUUCAUUCCUCUGUGGUUAUUCCAUGCUGCCGUUGUUCGGUAUAGAUUCUCAUUGCCUGCUCCUUCGUUGCUUCAAAAUUACCAGCGGAUUCCAUGCCAUUCCAUUGUUGCCACACCCUUGCUAGUUGCUUUUGAACUUCUUCUCUGUAUCUACCUUGAAGGCCAGGGUAAACCUUUUCUAGAUUUAAAGCUUGUUUUCCUUCCACUCCUGGCCUUGGAAAUUAUUACGUUAGUUGACAAUUUCAGGACGUUUGGUGCUCUAAUGCCUGGACAUGGGGAAACAAUCACUGAUGAGGAGAUAUGGGAUAGGCUUCCUCACUUCUGGGUUGCAAUUUCCAUGGUGUUUCUACUAGCAGCUACUUCACUCAUGCUUCUCAAGCUAUGCGGUGAUGCAGUUACUCUGGGGUGGUGGGAUUUAUUCAUUAACUUUGGGAUUUCCCAGUGCUUUGCUUUUCUUGUCUGCAUAAGGUGGUCCAAUCCAAUGGAUAUUGGUGGCCCUGUACUGAUAAUUCCUAUCGUAAUCUCUCAAGUUCUCCUAUGUGUGCGCUUAGAGGGCACUCCAUCUUAUUCACGGUUUAUCCCAGUUCGAGUUAUUUUCUCACCUAUACUUUUGCUCCAAGUGGUUGCUGUACUGUUUGCCGUUUGGAGAUUCUUUGAAAGGCUUGUUAUGAAAUUACAAGAUGGAAUUGUUAGUGAAGGAUAUAUUUCUGUCUCAUCAAAGAUUGAUGAGUUGUUUAAGAUGGUACAAUAUGGUUCAAGGCUCAUUACAUGGUCUAUUGACGAAGAUAGCAAAGAGGAACAAGCACAUUUAUGCUAUACAAAUAACACUGGGUAUAAUACAUUUUGCAGUUAUCCCCCUGAGAUGGUAAAAGAGAUGCCGAAAAAAGUUCUUGUCAAAGAGAUACAAAGACUUCAGUUAGCAUUGGGAGAGCAAAGCAAAAUGGCAAUGCUUAGCCAACAGCAGUGUGAGAGGCUAAAGAAUGAACGGAUCUUAUGUCGAAUUUGCUUUGAGAGGGACAUCUGCAUUGUUCUGCUUCCAUGCCGCCAUCAUGUUCUAUGCGAACCUUGCUCUGACAAGUGCCAAUCAUGCCCGAUUUGUCGAGUGCCUAUUCGGAGCAAGUUAUCCGUUAGUGAUGCAGUGAAUUCAGACGAUCCGUUAAGUGACAUCGUCUAGAAGUUGACAUGUCUUGACCCUAGGAUUAGAACAUCAACUUCUGGUGUCAACAGCAACACACUGAUUGCCAGCAUAGGAAGACAAACUAUUCAGGCUCAGAAUGGAGGACAUGAAAAUCAAGAGCCGUACCGUACCGCGUGCGCAAUCCCUCUUCUUGAGCGACAGUAUUACAGAAAGAAAGCGCGAGCGGUUCAUUCGCUCUCACCCAUAUAUAGGUGCCAGCACGAAUAACCACUUGAACCACUGAAUUUCCUGGCAAAGGCUGCACCUGGACAGUUUUUCAGGAAGGGUGGUUAUUAACUUCCUAACAGCUGACAGGGGUUCACCUCAGGUUGUUUGAACUGUUGUUUCUGGAGUCCAAAUUAUAAAUCUCGCCUCCAUCAGUUCUGACGAGUUUAUCAGCUGUUUGCAGCAAAGUGGCCGCUCUUUCCAGUGUACCACUCCCUGUUAUCAGCUGUUUCUGGAGUAGUUAGUUACCCAUCUUCCUUGUGAACAAGCAUUUGCUGCCUAGUACGUACGUACCUUGGUGCACAUAUAUGGAUGGAUAGAUGAGGCAAUAAUGUGCCCCCCUGUUUCUCACCCCAGGUUUUGGCGCGCGGCGGAAAGCUUUGGUCCCUGGUCCAUCCUGUCAAAUGAUGAGAGCCCACUGCUCGUGCGCGCACGUCGGCCUCAUCAUGCGCGGGCCUUUCUCCCUCCUCCUCGUGCUCGCCGGAAAGACGAGCUUUGCAGUACGAGAACGGGCGCGCAAGUCAACAUUUGUGGCCGCGGUCGACCUCUCAUCCCUCCCUCCCGUCAGGUUGCCAUGAAAUGAUUCGGCAUGUCUUGUGCUUGGGGUGGGGCUUUGCUUUGCUAGGUGCAUUGCCCCGCGUGACGGAAGGACGGGUCGCGCUGCGUUGGUGCGUUCCUUGUCCGCGCCGUUGCUUUCUUUCCAGGUCCAGGUCGCCUCUGGUCGUUGCUUGUGUAGACCUGCUUUUGUGCUGCCUCUUUCUUUGUGUGAU